UCAUAGCCCUUAGCUAUGAAGUCCAUAACUAUCAGGCAAGCUUGGAGUAAGAGCCUAUAGCUCUUACUAUUCAAUUUAAUUUCUUUUUAUUCAGAGUAUGUAUUUCAACUUAUCAUUAACUGCUGGAUGACAAGACAGACAGGGAACGCUUGAAUUUCUGGACUACCAAGAGAGAAUGAUAUCUUGAGGAAGUUGUUCAGGAAUUUGACUGGGAUUUAGUUGAAGAACUCCUCCUAGGCCCAUAAAGACAGAUUCCUGUUAUGUGCAUAAUUGGCAUGCUGGACAACCAUUGGAAAUUCCAGGUACACCAUACAGAUUACUUCUCUAUGUCUGUGAACUGCUGUGAAGGCUUUCCUCCCUAGAACAAAAUUUGACUUGAGAUAUACCUUCCAGUGGAAAAGUAGGAGGGCAUGAACUAUCUUUUCAGUUUGAAGUUACAGUGCCAGCUCCCAGAAAAAUGUAAUACCUGCCAGGGGAUCAUUAAUCUUUCCUACUGAUAUCUUCAAUCAGGAAACAUUACUUCGAACAAGAUCUGGAAAUUGGGUAUUUUGUGUACCCACUGAGAGUGUUAACUAUUUAGAAAACAAUGUUUUAGGAGAAUGUAACAUCAUCCUAAGCGAACUUGUUUCUAAAGAAAGGUUUGACAGGACACACUCAUUCAAUCAGACUUCAUUCACCCAUGGUUCUGACAUAAAGCUUGCUCUCCAGACCCUUCAUCAUUUUGAUGGUUUUAUUUUAGUUUAUCUGAAACUGACUCUCCUCCCCCUGACCCAUGUUCUUAUCUCAGAAACCAUUUGGAACAAGAAUCAGCUUCUGAUUAUAAUACUCAAGAUAUAUCAAGGAUUCAUCUCAAUAUAUGAAAUAAUUUUUUUUACAGUUAAAAUAAUCAUUCACUGGGACAACCUCUCCAGGAACUUGGUAGAGUCCCUGUCACUGAAAGUUUCCAAGACACAAUUGGAUUGCUGUAUAAUCUCAUCGAGGCUGUCUUUCCCAUGAAAGGUUGGACUGGAUGAUCUUUAGGCUCACCUUCCAACCUGGAAGGUCUUGUGGUUCUAUGUUCCUGUGAUUCCAAAUUCAGAGGUGUUGUUUCUGGACUGGAAGACGGGAUCUGACCCAGGCUCUACCAGAUUUUAUGUGACUGCUCUGUUAGACCUGAUACUAUAUCUCUUUACAGUUAAUUAUUCCAAGUUAGCUCUUAACAGAGCUCCCAUUCCCAGAAUGGGACAUAAUGGUAUUGAGUACAUGCAUUACACAGAGUAUGCAGAUCUCUUCGUAUUCUGGAUUAUUGCUUUAAAUCCUAAACUAAUGGAUAUAAGUGGUAAUGUCAUUGCUUUAAUAUUAUUUUAAGUAUUUUCUUAUAAAUCCCUGACUUGAAAAAACUUAAUUUUGAGUUACCUUGAGAGUGAUGAAUACAUAGUCUUAGUGAUUAAACACACAUAGUUUUUGAAGACUCUGAGCUGUAUAAAUUAUGGAGCAGAUUACUAACUUUUGCAACUUAAAUCUGAAGCAAUUUUUUUUUGCACUAGAUGUUCCAUUAUACAGGAACUACAGUACACUAUUUCUUUGUUUAUAUCUUUUUAAAGCACUUAUGUGAAUUAUACAGUACUCACUUCAUCACAAUACUGUGCAUUUAUUAAAAAAAAACGAAAGAAACAUGCUCCAAUACAAUUCUCCAUAUGUAGACUACUACUGUAGAAAAUCUAUCCAGCCAAAACACUAAAAUAAAUACAUGAUCUAAGAAAAUAAUUGUACCAUAGAUCUGACUUCUAAAACCUAUGAAUUGUUUCACCUGGGAUCUUAUGUUAUAAACCAUUGUAUAUUCAAAAACUGUGAAGAAAAAAACCCCAGAAUAUUUUAUUACAGUUCAGCCACUUGCCUUAAUUUUGAAAAGAGUAGGCAAGGCCUCUUCACUGUAUGCAGUCACUCAACAAAAAAUCAUUAGAAUUAUUCUAGACUUGCAUACCUGUAAGAUAAAUAUAAUUCACACCAAAAUAACUAAAUACUGCAGACUGUAGGAAACGGUUAAAAACAAAUCUGCAGAAAUAAUUUAUCAAUCUCUUGUUAACACAAAAUCAUCUGGUUUCAUUAAAUACUUCACUAAGAAAAUAUUGUGAAUUUUCAAACUAAUUCAAGCUUUUUAAAAUUAUUUUUAGUUUAUUUAAUAAUUGUA